rnacentral:rRNA from 1 species
UACGAAGGGGGCUAGCGUUGCUCGGAAUCACUGGCGUAAAGGGUGCGUAGGCGGGUCUUUAAGUCAGGGGUGAAAUCCUGGAGCUCAACUCCAGAACUGCCUUUGAUACUGAAGAUCUUGAGUUCGGGAGAGGUGAGUGGAACUGCGAGUGUAGAGGUGAAAUUCGAUAGAUAUUCGCAAGAACACCAGUGGCGAAGGCGGCCCACUCGCCCGAUACUGACGCUGAGGCACGAAAGCGUGGGGAGCAAACAGG